rnacentral:rRNA from 1 species
UGGGGAAUAUUGCACAAUGGAGGGAACUCUGAUGCAGCGACGCCGCGUGAACGAAGAAGGCUUUCGAGUCGUAAAGUUCUUUUAUAUGGGAAGAUAAUGACGGUACCAUAAGAAAAAGCCCCGGCUAACUACGUGCCAGCAGCCGCGGUAAUACGUAGGGGGCUAGCGUUGUCCGGAAUCACUGGGCGUAAAGGGUUCGCAGGCGGAAAUGCAAGUCAGGUGUAAAAGGCAGUAGCUUAACUGCUGUAAGCAUUUGAAACUGCAUAUCUUGAGAAGAGUAGAGGUAAGUGGAAUUUUUAGUGUAGCGAUGAAAUGCGUAGAUAUUAAAAAGAAUACCGGUGGCGAAGGCGACUUACUGGGCUCAUUCUGACGCUGAGGAACGAAAGCGUGGGUAGCAAACAGG